GACGAACGCUGGCGGCGUGCUUAACACAUGCAAGUCGAACGGAAAGGCCCUGCUUUUGUGGGGUGCUCGAGUGGCGAACGGGUGAGUAACACGUGAGUAACCUGCCCUUGACUUUGGGAUAACUUCAGGAAACUGGGGCUAAUACCGGAUAGGAGCUCCUGCCGCAUGGUGGGGGUUGGAAAGUUUCGGCGGUUGGGGAUGGACUCGCGGCUUAUCAGCUUGUUGGUGGGGUAGUGGCUUACCAAGGCUUUGACGGGUAGCCGGCCUGAGAGGGUGACCGGCCACAUUGGGACUGAGAUACGGCCCAGACUCCUACGGGAGGCAGCAGUGGGGAAUAUUGCACAAUGGGCGGAAGCCUGAUGCAGCAACGCCGCGUGCGGGAUGACGGCCUUCGGGUUGUAAACCGCUUUCGCCUGUGACGAAGCGUGAGUGACGGUAAUGGGUAAAGAAGCACCGGCUAACAACGUG
rnacentral:rRNA from 1 species